GAUGAACGCUGGCGGCGUGCCUAAUACAUGCCAGUCGAGCGAACAGACGAGGAGCUUGCUCCUCUGACGUUAGCGGCGGACGGGUGAGUAACACGUGGAUAACCUACCUAUAAGACUGGGAUAACUUCGGGAAACCGGAGCUAAUACCGGAUAAUAUAUUGAACCGCAUGGUUCAAUAGUGAAAGACGGUUUUGCUGUCACUUAUAGAUGGAUCCGCGCCGCAUUAGCUAGUUGGUAAGGUAACGGCUUACCAAGGCAACGAUGCGUAGCUGACCUGAGAGGGUGAUCGGCCACACUGGAACUGAGACACGGUCCAGACUCCUACGGGAGGCAGCAGUAGGGAAUCUUCCGCAAUGGGCGAAAGCCUGACGGAGCAACGCCGCGUGAGUGAUGAAGGUCUUCGGAUCGUAAAACUCUGUUAUUAGGGAAGAACAAAUGUGUAAGUAACUAUGCACGUCUUGACGGUACCUAAUCAGAAAGCCACGGCUAACUACGUG
rnacentral:rRNA from 1 species